rnacentral:rRNA from 1 species
GGAUGCCUUGGCAUGCACAGCCGAUGAAGGACGUGAUACGCUGCGAAAAGCCAUGGGGAGCUGCGAAUACGCUUUGAUCCAUGGAUAUCCGAAUGGGGAAACCCACCUUAGAUACUUGGAAAUUCAAACAAGCCGUACGGCUUGACCAUUCAUGCCCUCGGGCCUGUUUGGUUUCCAAGUAUCGAGACAAGGUAUCUUAUCCUGAAUACAUAGGGAUAAGAAGGGAACGCGGGGAACUGAAACAUCUAAGUACCCGUAGGAAAGGACAUCAACCGAGACUCCGUCAGUAGCGGCGAGCGAACGCGGACCAGGCCAGUGGCGAUUGGGAGACAAGCGGAACAUUCUGGAAAGGAUGGCCAUAGUGGGUGACAGCCCCGUACGCGUAAUGCAACCAAUCGUCCUCGAGUAAGGCGGGACACGUGAAAUCCUGUCUGAACGUGGGGGGACCACCCUCCAAGCCUAAGUACUCCUUGUCGACCGAUAGCGAACAAGUACCGUGAGGGAAAGGUGAAAAGCACCCCGACAAGGGGAGUGAAAGAGUACCUGAAACCGGAUGCCUACAAACAGUCGGAGCGCGCAAGCGUGACGGCGUACCUUUUGUAUAAUGGGUCAACGACUUAAUGUGGCGAGCAAGCUUAAACCGAU